rnacentral:rRNA from 1 species
UACGAAGGGGGCUAGCGUUGUUCGGAAUUACUGGGCGUAAAGCGCGCGCAGGCGGUCCUUCAAGUCAGGGGUCGAAGCCCAGGGCUCAACCCUGGAAUGGCCGUUUGAGACAUAGAGGACUUGGGUACGGGAGAGGUGAGUGGAAUUCCGAGUGUAGAGGUGAAAUUCGUAGAUAUUCGGAAGAACACCAGUGGCGAAGGCGGCUCACGUGGCCCGUUACCGACGCUCAGGCGCGACAGCGUGGGGAGCAAACAGGG